GCAAGUCGAACGAUGAUCCCAGCUUGCUGGGGGAUUAGUGGCGAACGGGUGAGUAACACGUGAGUAACCUGCCCUUGACUCUGGGAUAAGCCUGGGAAACUGGGUCUAAUACCGGAUAUGACCAUUCCACGCAUGUGGUGGUGGUGGAAAGCUUUUGUGGUUUUGGAUGGACUCGCGGCCUAUCAGCUUGUUGGUGGGGUAAUGGCCUACCAAGGCGACGACGGGUAGCCGGCCUGAGAGGGUGACCGGCCACACUGGGACUGAGACACGGCCCAGACUCCUACGGGAGGCAGCAGUGGGGAAUAUUGCACAAUGGGCGCAAGCCUGAUGCAGCGACGCCGCGUGAGGGAUGACGGCCUUCGGGUUGUAAACCUCUUUCAGUAGGGAAGAAGCGAAAGUGACGGUACCUGCAGAAGAAGCGCCGGCUAACUACGUGCCAGCAGCCGCGGUAAUACGUAGGGCGCAAGCGUUAUCCGGAAUUAUUGGGCGUAAAGAGCUCGUAGGCGGUUUGUCGCGUCUGCUGUGAAAGACCGGGGCUCAACUCCGGUUCUGCAGUGGGUACGGGCAGACUAGAGUGCAGUAGGGGAGACUGGAAUUCCUGGUGUAGCGGUGAAAUGCGCAGAUAUCAGGAGGAACACCGAUGGCGAAGGCAGGUCUCUGGGCUGUAACUGACGCUGAGGAGCGAAAGCAUGGGGAGCGAACAGGAUUAGAUACCCUGGUAGUCCAUGCCGUAAACGUUGGGCACUAGGUGUGGGGGACAUUCCACGUUUUCCGCGCCGUAGCUAACGCAUUAAGUGCCCCGCCUGGGGAGUACGGCCGCAAG
rnacentral:rRNA from 1 species